GGCCGUCGUCAGUUCGUACUGUGAAGCAUCCUGUUAAGUCAGGCAACGAGCGAGACCCACGCCAACAGUUACCAGCUCGUCCUCCGGGGUGUGGGGACACUGUUUGGGAACCGCCUCUAGGCUAAAGAGGAGGAAGGAAUGGGCAACGGUAGGUCAGCAUGCCCCGAAUUAUCUGGGCUACACGCGGGCUACAAUGGGUGGGACAAUGGGUAUCGACACCGAAAGGUGAAGGCAAUCUCCUAAACCCAUCCGUAGUUCGGAUUGUGGGCUGCAACUCGCCCACAUGAAGCUGGAAUCUGUAGUAAUCGUGUCUCAAAAUGGCACGGUGAAUAUGUCCCUGCUCCUU
rnacentral:rRNA from 1 species